rnacentral:rRNA from 1 species
UUGCCCUAGUAACGGCGAGUGAAGCGGCAACAGCUCAAAUUUGAAAUCUGGCGUCUUUGGCGUCCGAGUUGUAAUUUGCAGAGGGCGCUUUGGCAUUGGCAGCGGUCCAAGUUCCUUGGAACAGGACGUCACAGAGGGUGAGAAUCCCGUACGUGGUCGCUAGCCUUUACCGUGUAAAGCCCCUUCGACGAGUCGAGUUGUUUGGGAAUGCAGCUCUAAAUGGGAGGUAAAUUUCUUCUAAAGCUAAAUACUGGCCAGAGACCGAUAGCGCACAAGUAGAGUGAUCGAAAGAUGAAAAGCACUUUGGAAAGAGAGUUAAAAAGCACGUGAAAUUGUUGAAAGGGAAGCGCUUGCAGCCAGACUUGCCUGUAGUUGCUCAUCCGGGUUUUUACCCGGUGCACUCUUCUAUAGGCAGGCCAGCAUCAGUUUGGGCGGUUGGAUAAAGGUCUCUGUCAUGUACCUCUCUUCGGGGAGAACUUAUAGGGGAGACGACAUGCAACCAGCCUGGACUGAGGUCCGCGCAUCUGCUAGGAUGCUGGCGUAAUGGCUGUAAGCGGCCCGUCUUGAAACACGGACCAAGGAGUCUAACAUCUAUGCGAGUGUUUGGGUGUCAAGCCCGAGCGCGUAAUGAAAGUGAACGGAGGUGGGAACCUUUCGGGGUGCACCAUCGACCGAUCCUGAUGUCUUCGGAUGGAUUUGAGUAAGAGCAUAGCUGUUGGGACCCGAAAGAUGGUGAACUAUGCUUGAAUAGGGUGAAGCCAGAGGAAACUCUGGUGGAGGCUCGCAGCGGUUCUGACGUGCAAAUCGAUCGUCAAAUUUGGGCAUAGGGGCGAAAGACUAAUCGAACUAUCUAGUAGCUGGUUCCUGCCGAAGUUUCCCUCAGGAUAGCAGUAACGUUUUCAGUUUUAUGAGGUAAAGCGAAUGAUUAGAGGCCUGGGGGUUGAAACAACC